GAUGAACGCUGGCGGCGUGCCUAAUACAUGCAAGUCGAGCGAACAGACGAGGAGCUUGCUCCUUUGACGUUAGCGGCGGACGGGUGAGUAACACGUGGAUAACCUACCUAUAAGACUGGGAUAACUCCGGGAAACCGGAGCUAAUACCGGAUAAUAUUUAGAACCGCAUGGUUCUAUAGUGAAAGAUGGUUUUACUGUCACUUAUAGAUGGAUCCGCGCCGCAUUAGCUAGUUGGUAAGGUAACGGCUUACCAAGGCAACGAUGCGUAGCCGACCUGAGAGGGUGAUCGGCCACACUGGAACUGAGACACGGUCCAGACUCCUACGGGAGGCAGCAGUAGGGAAUCUUCCGCAAUGGGCGAAAGCCUGACGGAGCAACGCCGCGUGAGUGAUGAAGGUCUUCGGAUCGUAAAACUCUGUUAUUAGGGAAGAACAAAUGUGUAAGUAACUGUGCACGUCUUGACGGUACCUAAUCAGAAAGCCACGGCUAACUACGUG
rnacentral:rRNA from 1 species